GAUGAACGCUGACAGAAUGCUUAACACAUGCAAGUCGAUUCAAGUUACCUUCGGGUAAUGAGGAUGGCGGACGGGUGAGUAACGCGUAAGGAACUUGCCUCUUGGUCUGGGACAACUGUUGGAAACGACAGCUAAUACCGGAUAUUAUGAGAUUCUCGCAUGGGAAACUUAUGAAAGCUAUAUGCGCCAAGAGAGAGCCUUGCGUUCCAUUAGCUAGUUGGUGGGGUAAUGGCCCACCAAGGCGACGAUGGAUAGCCGGCCUGAGAGGGUGAACGGCCACAAGGGGACUGAGACACGGCCCUUACUCCUACGGGAGGCAGCAGUGGGGAAUAUUGGACAAUGGGCCACAAGCCUGAUCCAGCAAUUCUGUGUGCACGAUGAAGGUCUUCGGAUUGUAAAGUGCUUUCAGUUGGGAAGAAGAAAGUGACGGUACCAACAGAAGAAGCGACGGCUAAAUACGUGCCAGCAGCCGCGGUAAUACGUAUGUCGCAAGCGUUAUCCGGAUUUAUUGGGCGUAAAGCGCGUCUAGGCGGAAAAAUAAGUCUGAUGUUAAAAUGCGGGGCUCAACUCCGUAUUGCGUUGGAAACUGUUUUUCUAGAGUACUGGAGAGGUGGGCGGAACUACAAGUGUAGAGGUGAAAUUCGUAGAUAUUUGUAGGAAUGCCGAUGGAGAAGUCAGCUCACUGGACAGAUACUGACGCUGAAGCGCGAAAGCGUGGGGAGCAAACAGGAUUAGAUACCCUGGUAGUCCACGCCGUAAACNAUGAUCACUAGG
rnacentral:rRNA from 1 species